AUGCCAUCCGUCAUCUGCCUUCCCGCGUGGCGAGUAGAGCCUUCAUCCAUGCAGGGAGCAGCUAAGGACACAAAUGCAGAGCUCUCUCGCUCGGAACCCUCCACUCAAGUCCCCAAACCCAGAAUGUCCGGAAGUAACCCCGAGAACCGAAGUAGCACCGGGCCACUUCGGAGGCCGCCAGAGCCUCCGGAACCCCGCGUGGCCGGGGCAGCCCCCGAGCCACGUCCCCGGGCCGGCCCCGCCUCCGGGCGCCGCGCCUGGAAAGGCUUCCGUCCUGCCCCUUCCGAGACCGCGCCCGGGCCUAGCCCUGGCCCACCCAGCCCCCAUCCCGCCCUGGGAGGGCCUCCCGCGCCAAGGGCCCCGGCUGCCCAAGGCUCCGCCCCUCCGGCCCAGCAAGCCUGGCCAACAGCACCUGGCGCUAGGCCGGCCCGGCCCAGCCCGGCCCCGCCCCCGGCAGCCGGGCCCGGCCAGCACACGCGCGCGCCCGGCUCCUCCCCCGGCGGCGAGGCGGCGGCACGAAAUCCCGCCCCGUUCGGCGCGCACCGGCGCGACGCUUGCUCGCUCCCUAUUCCCUCCCUCCUCCCGCACAGGGAGCUCCCCGCUCCGCCCCCCAUCUCCCUCCUCCGCCCCCCCGCGCGCGAGACACCCUCUCAUCCACACAUACACCCCGGCCGCCCCGCUCUACGGGAAGCAGAGGGGGCCAAUCCCCUCCCCCUGCAUACACACCCCUCGAGUCCCUUCCCCACCCCCACAUUUCCCCCCGGGCCGCACGGCGAGCGGAACCUUGCCCGCUCCUUCUCCCGGGCCCAGCGGGGUGUAAAGGGAGGCGGGCCGGGAAGAAGGGAGGGAAGGAGGGCGGGCUCCGCACUCUCGCCCGCCGGACGGCCAGCCCCUCGCCCUCACCUCAAAGCUGCCUCGGCCGUUCACAAGUCUGUCCCGUCUCGGGCAGCGAGAGCUCCCAGGCUGAGCGGCGGCGACGGCGGCGGUGGCAGUAGCGAGGGGGCGGGGAGGGGAGGGGAGGGGAGGCCGGAGCAGGGCUCUCGGCGCGGGGCCCGAGCGGACUGGCAGUCCCCCGGCGGGGGCUGGGGCGCUCACGGGCCCCGCUCCCCAGCCGCAGCCAGACCCGGGGAGGGAAACUCCGAGGGGGGAGGGGAAGGGGGGGGAAAAGACGAAGAAACCGUCUCCGCUGCCGCUACCGCCGCGGCCGCUUCUCUGUUACCCGGGAAAUCCCGCCCACUCUCCUUGCCCGCCCCGCUGAGGGGAGACCCAGUCCUGCCGCGUUACAGGCUCGGUCGACUGUUCAUCAGGUCCCCCACCAAUCAUUGCUCCUGGUCACCUAGGACCCGCCCCUCUACUCCCCCCUACACUGCAGGGGGAGCCACUUACCUUCCCCACACCCCUAUUGGCGGGGAGCUCCCCCAACUCAGACCCACCUAUUGGAGGCAGCCAGUGGACUCCCGCCCACUCGCCUCUAGGUCAUUGGAGAAAACUAGGAGAUUCUUUGCAACUUAUUGGAGGAAGGCACGAAGACCGCCCCAUUCCUACUAUCCCAUUGGAAGAUUCGCUCAGCUCCCACCCUGCUAG
ensembl:lncRNA